ACACAGAGAAGAGCAGGAGUGGAGGUGUGCGCAUAAACAUUUGCCUCGGAGAAAGAAGUGUUUCCACCAGGAUGCUCUCAAGGAGGAUUAAAUAGUGGAAUGAACCUUCCAGCUUGGUGGAUGUGCUGGAGUGAAUCAGAAAGGGCGAGUUUCCUGAAGGCCUGGGAAAAGUUUCCUGAAGGCACAGUGGAAAGCUGUGCCACUGCAUGCGUGCCCCUCUCUGUCGGUCGGCACGAGGUCCCUGCAGGUGCCUGCUCUCUGUGCACCUGGGAACAGCAACUGCAAACCCGAGUGGGUGCCUGCCAUCACCCAACAUCCCUCCCAUGUGAAGUAAUGCCCUCCUCAUCCCGCAAAGAUGGCAUUUUAUGUGAAACCUCCGCUGUGUAGAGGUAGUUGCAGUGGUAUGCCUUCCCGUCAACGAGAGAGCAAAAUAACCUGUGUUUGGUUCUGGCUCUUCUGCUUCCCAAGCCCAUGAGAUAUAAAGCACAGGCUGAGCUACAGUCGAAAGAACAAAUCAUCCAAAGCCACAACCUGUGCUUUCUUGGAGAAGGAAGUUUUUCAGAAAUGCAGGGAAAAUGGCUCUCUGCCACAUCUUGCCUGAAGACCAUACAUAUAUCACUGGAGAUCAGAGGAAGAGAUGACACACGCUGGCAUCAGGCAGGAUUUAUGGAAAGCUGCUCCUGUGACAGUCGUCUCCUACAUGACCUCUUGCAGUUCCUUCUAAGACUUCUUUCUUUUACUCCUUGUAAAUAUUCCUGGUGCAGAGGCAUUGAAAUAUUACAAAAAAAUAUUUGUAUACUCAUAAGGCAGAUGGAUGUGCUAAUUUCUCCAUGA
rnacentral:lncRNA from 1 species